rnacentral:rRNA from 1 species
CCUACGGGAGGCAGCAGUGGGGAAUAUUGCACAAUGGGGGAAACCCUGAUGCAGCGACGCCGCGUGAAGGAAGACGUAUUUCGGUAUGUAAACUUCUAUCAGCAGGGAAGUAAAUGACGGUACCUGACUAAGAAGCCACGGCUAACUAAGUGCCAGCAGCCGCGGUAAUACGUAGGGGGCCAGCGUUAUCCGGAUUUACUGGGUGUAAAGGGAGCGUAGGCGGUGCAGCAAGUCAGAAGUGAAAGCCCGGGGCUCAACUGUGGGACUGCUUUUGAAACUGUUGAACUAGAUUGCAGGAGAGGUAAGUGGAAUUCCUAGUGUAGCGGUGAAAUGCGUAGAUAUUAGGAAGAACACCAGUGGCGAAGGCAGCUUACUGGACUGUAAAUGACGCUGAGGCUCGAAAGCGUGGGGAGCAAACAGGAUUAGAUACACUGGUAGUC